AACGUAGGACACAAGCGUUAUCCGGAGUUACUGGGCGUAAAGGGCGUGUAGGCGGACCUGUAAGUCUAUUCUGAAAGCUCCUGGCUAAACUGGGAGAGGCGAAUGGAGACUGCAGAUCUAGAGUGAGGAAGAGGAAAGUGGAAUUCCGCGUGUAGUGGUGAAAUGCGUAGAGAUGCGGAGGAACACCAGUGGCGAAAGCGACUUUCUGGUCCUUAACUGACGCUGAGGCGCGAAAGCAUGGGGAGCGAACGGGAUUAGAUACCCGUAG
rnacentral:rRNA from 1 species